AUUGAACGCUGGCGGCAGGCCUAACACAUGCACGUCGAACGAGUGGCGGACGGGUGAUUAAUGUCUGGUAAACUGCCUGAUGUAGGGGGAUAACUACUGGAAAAGGUAGCUAAUACAGCAUACUCUCGGAUGUGCCCAGAUGGGAUUAGCUAGUAGGUGGGGUAACGGCUCACCGAGGCGACGAUCCCUAGCUGGUCUGAGAGGAUGAUCAGCCACACGGGAACGGAGACACGGUCCAGACUCCUACGGGAGGCAGCAGUGGGGAAUAUUGGACAAUGGGCGCAAGCCUGAUGCAGCCAUGCCGCGUGUAUGAAGAAGGCCUUCGGGUUGUAAAGUACUUUCAGCUAGGAGGCGUUACUCGCAGAAGAAGCACCGGCUAACUCCGUGCCAGCAGCCGCGGUAAUUC
rnacentral:rRNA from 1 species